rnacentral:lncRNA from 1 species
CAAAUACCAAAAUUUGAUGUUUGAAUGAGACUUCACUUUUGCAUUUGAUUUCAAAUCAAAAUACAAGGUUGCAUAUGACCUUAACUCCUUCGUAAUUCAAAAAAAAAUUGACGAUUUGCUCGUCAGCCACGGGCGCCAGUCACUUCCGCCGCUCUCCGUCGGUAACUCCACCAUCUGGAGUCACAUCCAUCUGCCAGCCACUUUCAUCGGCACUUUCACCACCAUCUUUCGGCAAUUGUUCUGUCAUCUUCCGACAACAUCCACCGCCAUGCAUUGGUCUCCUUCGUCGUGGGCUUGCUGUGAGAGCUUUCGGUUUUAAUAUUUUAUAUAAUUGUGUGUCAUUUGAUGAAGGAGUAUGUGUAUUAUACUUGAACUACACACAAAUUAAAGCAUCCAAACACAUGAUUUUGAUUUGAAAUUCCAAAUGUAAAUACAGUCAGCGAAAUCUGCAUUUGUGAGGUUCAUUUUGAAAUGAAUUUUGCGAUUUUGAUAAAUGAAGGAAUUCAUUUUGAA